GAGUGGACGCAUCACUGGUGUUCGGGUUGUCAUGCCAAUGGCACUGCCCGGUAGCUAAAUGCGGAAGAGAUAAGUGCUGAAAGCAUCUAAGCACGAAACUUGCCCCGAGAUGAGUUCUCCCUGACUCUUUAAGGGUCCUGAAGGAACGUUGAAGACGACGACGUUAAUAGGCCGGGUGUGUAAGCGCAGCGAUGCGUUGAGCUAACCGGUACUAAUGAACCGUGAGGCUUAACCUU
rnacentral:rRNA from 1 species